rnacentral:rRNA from 1 species
AACGAACACUGGCGGCAGGCCUAACACAUGCAAGUCGAGCGAGGACUUCGGUCCUAGCGGCGGACGGGUGAGUAACACGUGGGAACGUGCCCUUUGCUUCGGAAUAGCCCUGGGAAACUGGGAGUAAUACCGGAUGAGCCCUUUGGGGGAAAGAUUUAUCGGCGAAGGAUCGGCCCGCGUUGGAUUAGGUAGUUGGUGGGGUAAUGGCCUACCAAGCCGACGAUCCAUAGCUGGUUUGAGAGGAUGAUCAGCCACACUGGGACUGAGACACGGCCCAGACUCCUACGGGAGGCAGCAGUGGGGAAUCUUAGACAAUGGGGGAAACCCUGAUCUAGCCAUGCCGCGUGAGCGAUGAAGGCCUUAGGGUUGUAAAGCUCUUUCAGCUGGGAAGAUAAUGACGGUACCAGCAGAAGAAGCCCCGGCUAACUCCGUG